GACGAACGCUGGCGGCGUGCUUAACACAUGCAAGUCGAACGGAAAGGCCCUGCUUUUGUGGGGUGCUCGAGUGGCGAACGGGUGAGUAACACGUGAGUAACCUGCCCUUGACUUUGGGAUAACUUCAGGAAACUGGGGCUAAUACCGGAUAGGAGCUCCUGCUGCAUGGUGGGGGUUGGAAAGUUUCGGCGGUUGGGGAUGGACUCGCGGCUAUCCAGCUUGUUGGUGGGGUAGUGGCUUACCAAGGCUUUGACGGGUAGCCGGCCUGAGAGGGUGACCGGCCACAUUGGGACUGAGAUACGGCCCAGACUCCUACGGGAGGCAGCAGUGGGGAAUAUUGCACAAUGGGCGGAAGCCUGAUGCAGCAACGCCGCGUGCGGGAUGACGGCCUUCGGGUUGUAAACCGCUUUCGCCUGUGACGAAGCGUGAGUGACGGUAAUGGGUAAAGAAGCACCGGCUAACUACGUGCCAGCAGCCGCGGUGAUACGUAGGGUGCGAGCGUUGUCCGGAUUUAUUGGGCGUAAAGGGCUCGUAGGUGGUUGAUCGCGUCGGAAGUGUAAUCUUGGGGCUUAACCCUGAGCGUGCUUUCGAUACGGGUUGACUUGAGGAAGGUAGGGGAGAAUGGAAUUCCUGGUGGAGCGGUGGAAUGCGCAGAUAUCAGGAGGAACACCAGUGACGAAGGCGGUUCUCUGGGCCUUUCCUGACGCUGAGGAGCGAAAGCGUGGGGAGCGAACAGGCUUAGAUACCCUGGUAGUCCACGCUGUAAACGGUGGGUACUAGGUGUGGGGUCCAUUCCACGGGUUCCGUGCCGUAGCUAACGCUUUAAGUACCCCGCCUGGGGAGUACGGCCGCAAGGCUAAAACUCAAAGGAAUUGACGGGGCCCCGCACAAGCGGCGGAGCAUGCGGAUUAAUUCGAUGCAACGCGUAGAACCUUACCUGGGUUUGACAUGGAUCGGGAGUGCUCAGAGAUGGGUGUGCCUCUUUUGGGGUCGGUUCACAGGUGGUGCAUGGCUGUCGUCAGCUCGUGUCGUGAGAUGUUGGGUUAAGUCCCGCAACGAGCGCAACCCUUGUUCACUGUUGCCAGCACGUUAUGGUGGGGACUCAGUGGAGACCGCCGGGGUCAACUCGGAGGAAGGUGGGGAUGACGUCAAGUCAUCAUGCCCCUUAUGUCCAGGGCUUCACGCAUGCUACAAUGGCUGGUACAGAGAGUGGCGAGCCUGUGAGGGUGAGCGGAUCUCGGAAAGCCGGUCUCAGUUCGGAUUGGGGUCUGCAACUCGACCUCAUGAAGUCGGAGUCGCUAGUAAUCGCAGAUCAGCAACGCUGCGGUGAAUACGUUCCCGGGGCU
rnacentral:rRNA from 1 species